UAGAAUCAUUUUUAGAAUAAAAAAAAUUAAAAGAGUGAAAAAAAAAAUAAUAAUAAAAAAAUAAAAAAAUUCCUAGUUGGCUAAAAUAAGAAAUGAGAAUGUGUUCAUUGGGUGAGAGAUGAAAGUGAGUGUAUCUCUGGGCUUUGGGAUGAUGAAAAGAAGAAGGGUAGAAUUUGAAAUUACUUAGAAAAGGGGUAGAAUGAUGAGAACAAACAUUGUAUGCAUGAAUUGCUCCUUUUCUUAGAUACAUUUUGCAUAAUGAUUUUGCUCCUAUUCUUGAGUGUGAGUCACUAUAAAUGAUGCAAUUGAAACCCAUUUUCUUCACAUUAGACCAUCUCUCUCACCAAGCCAAAUGAUUGAGAUCAAAUAUCCUUUUGCAAGAAUUCACAUUGUGUGUGUUGAAAUGAAUGUGAGGGUUGGCUAAAGAACUUGUUGAUUGAUGAGUAAAUGACUUGGGUUGAGGCAUAAGAGUCUUGAUAGGCCUUGAGAAGCUAGAGUGUACUAAGAGAAUUGCUCAUGCUAUUUGUUAUGUUUCUCUUAGGAUGUUAGGUUGAAGGCUAGAAAGUAUAUCUUUUGGUUAUAAGCUCCCAUCUUUAUAUCUCUCCUUCUUGAGUUUUUGAAAAGUUUACUUGAGGACAAGUAAAGGACUAGUGUGGGGGAGUUGAUAUCUCAUGAUUUUUAUAAGUUUUAGAUUCAUAUUUUAGCUUAU
rnacentral:lncRNA from 1 species